rnacentral:rRNA from 1 species
UACGGAGGAUCCAAGCGUUAUCCGGAUUUAUUGGGUUUAAAGGGUGCGUAGGCGGCAGUUUAAGUCAGAGGUGAAAGACGGUAGCUCAACUAUCGCAGUGCCUUUGAUACUGAAUUGCUUGAAUAAACUAGAGGUAGGCGGAAUGAGACAAGUAGCGGUGAAAUGCAUAGAUAUGUCUCAGAACACCGAUUGCGAAGGCAGCUUACUAUGGUUUUAUUGACGCUGAGGCACGAAAGCGUGGGGAUCAAACAGGAUUAGAUACCCUGGUAGUCCACGCCCUAAACGAUGAAUACUCGCUGUUAGCGAUAUACAGUUAGCGGCUAAGCGAAAGCGUUAAGUAUUCCACCUGGGGAGUACGCUCGCAAGAGUGAA